AUACACACACACACACACUAUAUAUAUAUAUAUAUAUAUAUAUAUAUAUAUAUAGUGUGUGUGUGUGUGUAUAU